AAGGCUUUACCUUAAUUAAAGUGUCUGAUUUGCAUUCAAAAAAUGUGGGGUAAAGUCCUGCAAGUCUUA
rnacentral:tRNA from 1 species